CAAUCAUGAGAUAUAUGCAGGGAAUUUCAAUCACACUAAGUUGGGCUCACAGGACAGGACUUUUAAAAUCCUGACUGAUUGUAUCAUCGGGUUGGAUCUAAGGAGAAUCUUCACAGAUGUUCUUCUGUCUAAUCCUUAAAAAAAGCUUGAAAAUAAUGACGCAUCACGCACGUACAGGAUAUUAUAAAGAUAAUCAUGCCAGUGGGAGCAACGCGGCGGCUCGAGUGAUCUCAAAUGUCAACAAACGGAGAUAACUUGCUGUGGUAAAGUUAAUACUUGGCUUCAUUCUAAAGGGUGUAAUGAAAACAGUGCAGGCGAGAGACACACUGUGUCGUGUCUGAACUGGAAGUUGGGAACGCUGGCUCGGAACAAUCGGCUGCUGACUUGCAAGGGAUUGCAGCAUUUGUUCUGCCGGGCCUGGUCAGAGGAUUUUUUUUUUUCUACCUUACCCUUUUCUGGUGAAGUUCUACCUGAUUUUGACUUUUCCCUGAUUCAAGUCCGCUUUCAUCCCAGCCUGCAUGCUGGUUGUUCCUUUGGGUUCAAGCUCCCUCUUGAGCCAUUACCGAGCCCAGUAUCCACAUUUUGCAGCAUGUCUUUCACAAUAAUUAACAAAGAAUAUGCUAUAAAUAGCGAGAGUGCCUCCUUCGCACACACACGUGCAAUUUCAGAGUUCAGUGCAACAGAGACAAGACUCUGCUCUAAUAUCACACUCUCCAUUCUGUAACCUGCCUUGAACAAACCUUGAGCAGGAUCAGCGUAUAGAUGCAGUUUAUUUCAGUCUUGGAUGAAGGCUAAGUUACUUGAAUGCACUGUACUGUGUACAAUGAGGCAAACAGUGUAGCAGUCUCCUCACUAAGCCUGAAGCAUCAAAUACUCAUCACCAGAUUGACGACUGACUCGACCGUUUUGCCUUCAUGGCCGAAAAGCAAAAAAAAACUCACCAGCUGGUUGAAUCCUCAUGCAACAACUUUUAUUGACCUUGAUAAACGGGCGACUGAUAAAACUUUCUCGCUCACAGAAAAUUGGUGCCCGCUUCCAGUUUUUGCAUCUUUUAUAACUCCUCUUGCCUUUGCCUUUCUCCUCUAUCCCAGUGCAUCACUUAAGAGGGCUUUUCCUCAAUCGUCUCUCAGCUGCAUUACAAGCACGUACAGCAAAAAAAAGGGGUUUUCUCUACACCUCCACCUCCUCUCGUCCACUGGAGCCCCCUCCCAUCUCGCCCUGAAUGACUGAAUCUCCUCGAUCUAUUAUCCCGUUUUCUCGCUGAGCUGCCGGAUUUCGCCCCCUUCUGUCAUUUAAGAUCUGUUCCCACUUAUCCAAAAAAAAAAAAAAGAAAACCUUUAAGCACAUUUCUAUUCCUGUCUCCGAUUCUUAUCCCCCAAACUGAAGUAUGUGUAUUGAAAAGUCAGUGUCAGGGUUACAGCGUCUGUCAGCUCAGUGCUUUGGUUUCCACGUCUAAAACUAUAGUACACUGGUGGUGCAGCUGGUACUUUAUUUUUAUUUAGCGACACGAGACACGACUUAAGAACUGAGACAUGACAAGACACAACCAGGUGUGAUGGGGAAACCAGUGUUUCCUCAUGUUCAUUAGGUGGUUGGUUCUUGAACACACCCUUGUGUUCAGGCCAACCCCUCCCACCUGAUUAAUCUGAGGGCAUUUAAGGCACCUGUGGCUGCAUGGUCUCUUUGUCUCUCCCUGGUUGUCUUGUGGGCUCCUCUGACUCUGAUCUACUCUCUCCCUCUUUUGCCUGCUCGUAGUGGCGUCUGCAUCUAUGAAUGAAGUUCAUCGCCAAUGUUGUGGGAGCAAAUUGUUAAUCGAGGUUAGCUCGUACACCUUUUUAUUUAUGGUCAUUGUUAGCUGCUGUUUUGCGUUGCUCUAGUUUUGCUUUCACUGAUUUGUUGUUGUCGUACAUUUCUUAUAUGAUUAUCUGGACCAACUGGUGUGUUUUAAUUGUUUGUAGUAACAUUUCUUUUGCCCCCUUUUUUUUAAUCUCUUUUUCCUUGGAAUAAAUAUUUCAAAAAGACACCAUUUUGCUGUUUUAUAAAACAAUACCUCAAUAGAAUUUGUAUAUUUUCAUAAUUUGAUUCAUUUUCCCUGCAUUAUUAACCCCCUUCUCCACAGAUGUUUCCAUUUAUUCAUUAUUUCACUUGAAAUUAAUAAAUUUGGCUUCUUUUUGGAACCACGUCUCUGUCUCCUCUCAGUUAAACAAACUUGUGUUGUCUGUCAUAAAUUGAGGUCUUAGUCAGAUUUUCAUAAGAUAUUUCCUGGGGUGAAAUUCCACAGGUGGCGUUGUCAGGUAGUCAGGUACUGGUGGCCUCCACCCACACACACUCACCUCGCCACACAGGCAUGUUAUGAGACAUGACAGGAUAAGAACAUUA